ACAAAAAGAAAAAAAAAGAAAGAAGAAGAAGAAAAAAAAAAGAAAAAAAUGGGUGUGUGGGAAAGAGCUGCUUCUGGCUUUCGAGCCCCUUUUAGCUCCUUGAGUAUCAGUUUCAAGACUCUUCCCAGAUUCUGGGGUAGACAGGUGCUUCAGUUAAGUCACGAGGUGACCUAGGCGAGCGUGUUCACAAAUGGUGUCCCAGGAGUGCUGCGGAAAGAGACCUAUGUACUGUACUCCAGGGGCGGCCACCGCCAUCCCUUCUGGCCAUGUCACAUCAGAGCCAGGGGACCCUAUAUACAGUACCUUCCAGAUCUUUCCUGUCCAAGAGAAUAUUAUCCUGUGUAGACAGACUGUUUUGAUUAUCUAUUGCUGUGAAACAAACUACCCCAAACUCACUGCUUCGAAACAACGGCCACCACCACUCCUGGUGGUCUUCCACGAGGCUGGGGUUGCCUGGGCUCUGUGGGGCUGUUCUUCUGCUCCGUGUGUUGUCAAGUGGGCUGCAACGUCCAGAGGACUCACUCAUGGGGUUGGCCCUUGGUGCUGGGUGCUGGCUGGGCGCUCGCUGGGGCUGCUGAUGAGAAUGGGGGAGAGGUUUUGGUGCUUCUCCUUAUGGCUCCUUUCUGCAUGGUGGCUGCGUUCCCAGAGGGAGUGCUCUAGGCAGACAAAACCUGAAGCCAGGGGUCUCGUAAGGCCUAGCUAGUUUCACUCCUGCCACACUCCAGUGGCCACAGCCACUCACGGCGUCAGCGCAAUUGGUUUCAGUUUUCCAAGGGAGACGUGGCAAAGGAUUUGAAGCGAUCUUGAAUUCACUGCAUCGCUGGUUAGACUGCUGACCUGCCACGGGGCUUGUGUGACGGGGGAGAGGCUGCUCGUCUCCAGGAGAAGCGUGGGUACACUGGCACUGACGAAGUUUUGGAGACAGAGUUUCGAGUGAAGCAGAAAGAACAGCCUUCUUGCUUUGCCAGGCAAAGGAGGCCACCGCAGGAUAGUGCCUCCAAACGGUGUCCUCUCUUGAGAGGGGCCGGCAAGGGGGUUUAAUGGCUUUAAUUUGAAAAAACAGGGCUGUCGAUAAGGACUGGGGGGCCUGCCUUCUUCUCCCUCCAUAGAUCAUUCCAAAGCCAUUAAGGCUGGAGUCAGGGGCUCCGGUGAUGUUUUCUGGUGGUCUUUGGGGUUAUUGCCCCUUGACCUUUUCUCCUCAGCGAGGAUCGCUUACAAGGGGACGGUGGGUUGGGGAGCGUUUCAAAGGAAAAAAACCACCACGAGCGAUAUAACUCUAACGAGGCACCAUUAGUUAAUGAACGCAGUUGAGCAAGGAAGAAAUCAUUUGUGAAAAGCUGGUUAGAGCAAGUGAGUGCGCCCAGGCAGGGCGUAGCUAGUAUCAGGGAGACUCAACUAGUUUUCAGCUGUAUCAGUAUUUCCUUCCUAAUCAUGCACUCUUGAGUCAGCCUUUGGGACCUGAGAGGCCUGGGCAGCUAAAGGAAAAAAGCCUUUUACUUCAAAACACAAGGACUCAAGGGCUUUUCAGAGUUUCACCUGCGAAGCAUUGAUGGGAGGUGGGAAGGCACCAGGCUUCCGGGGGAGCCCCCGCCUCUUCCCGAGGGAAACUCCACAGGCACCACGGCGUCAGCCAGACCUCUGGGUCUCAGCUUCAUCAGAGAUCCUUUAUUUUCUUGGAGUAUGUUGGGUGCUAUAAAUAUUUCAAGGGACCCAGAGAGAGCCUGGAAUCAAGCAAAGAAAAUGGCCCAAAAUGAUUAGUUGAUCGUUAUCAAAGAACCAGAAGGAUGUCAAGAUUUGGGGGACUGGCCACCAAGAUGGACCAGGCCAAGGCAUGCCCUGCUCGCUGGGACAGGGCCUUGGCGGUGGACGGAGGACUGAGGACACAGUGAUGGGGAAAGGGGCCAAUGAGCGUGGAUGAGGAAUGGUGCUGGCCCGACACUGGCCACUACUCAGCUAAGAGCCACCACUCAUGGCGCCAUCUUGAACUCACCGUGUCCCUUCCCCUGGGCUCUGCAUUUUCCUUCCCUCAAAUAGCACCUUGGGAACAUCUUCCCCCAUCAGCUGGUGACAGACAGUCUCUGCCAAGUGUUUGGUGACUUCAUAGAGGAAAGAGGCUGCCUGGAAAUACAUUCCAUUGGAUAUUAAAGAAUGUAUUUCCCUGAUUUACGCCAGGCAAGGCAGGGAUGUCUGAGAGGCGAGGAACCAAUGGCCAUAUCCACUUUGACUAAUGAUUAAUUAUUCUAUCUAAAGUGAUGUUUUCCCAUCAACUGAGAGGGUAGAAAAAUAGACUACAGCUUGCCAGGUUCGCCCCACAGGUCACAGAUGUUGCCUCUGCAUUUUCAGAUUGUAUUAUCCAUUACAGACGGUAUCUUCUCAUUUAGAAACAUAAUUUGUUGUUCUCGCAGACCGGGGAAAAAAAAAAAGCAAAAAAGCUGACAUUUCACAUGCAAGUCAAAGAUUAGCAUCACGGCCCAGGACCACAUAUGGAAGCACAUGAGGAUGUGGAGUCCCCGACUCUAGAACAGGAGGCUUCUGCUAAGAGAGAUGUAGAAGGCAGUGACUUCUGAACUUUAUUAUGCAAAUGCGAAGCCCAGAGAGCCCGGCUGUUUAACCUCAUCAGGGGAAAUGUCACUGAUCAUUUCAAGCUCCGAGUGUAACACAGGCAUUAGUACUAUUAUGUUAUGAUUAUUAUUAUUAUUAUUUGCAGGGCAUGAUGUAAGCCCGAGCCCUCUGAUUAAGCUGAGUCUCUCAUGCUCAGUCCCUCUGGGCUUGAAAAUCAACUCUUCUUGAUAUUAAACAAACCAACAUACAAACAACAUAUAUUUUUGUUCUUUCUCUUUGAUGUUUGUGGAUGGGCUGCCUCCAGAUCUGACGUCCAUCAGGCAGGGGGAAGAUGGUGAGAGUUUUACAGCAUCCAGUUGCCACCCUCAGGUGCUGCCUCUCCUUCUGGCUCUUCUGGGACCUUCUACCCCCACGACAGAGGUGUUCAGAGAUGCUGGGGCAGGAGAGAGGGACAUAUCUUGGGUUGGGGAGAUGCUGAGGAGGAUGGAGACAAGAGGGAUACUGCACGAGUCUGGAUAAGGAGGGGAAAGGUCCUUCUGUCCCCCGCACAGGUCGUUGCCAUCUAGCAGAGCCACAUAGCAAACUGAGAAGCCUCCUGGAUCUUAGCGGUGCAGACAGAAAGGGCUUGAACUCAAGCAGCAAAAACGAAGCCAGCGAGCAGGGGAAAAGUCAGAGGCAGUGGCCCAGGGUGAUAGACAGCGAAGGCUGGCAUCUCUGAAUCCAGAUUUCAGGACCUGAACUGGCAAGGUUCUAUGUUCAGAAGAAAAGCCUCCUGGGAGUUUUCUUGGGGGGCAGCGCAUUGAGGAUCGGUGUGGCUUGGGAGGCUGCUGUGGACAACAUUCGAUCCCUGGCCCGAGAACUUGGCUGAAAAAAAAAAAAAAAGAUGAUGUGGGAAAUGAAAAAAUAGAAGCAGAGCACACAGUGAGUGCUUCCCUCCCACAUCCUGGCACUUGGGGGAUGUCUGGCUUGAACACGUAACCCAAGAGGGAAGGGGGGUCACUGCACAACUGGGAGGACUAGACACUUGCAGACCCCAGAGACCCUCCCAUAUCCUUCGGACACGAACACUGAUAGCAGGAGCCCAGUCCAGUUAAACCAGACUUCUUAGGAGUGGAGCCCACGUCCAUAUUCCAUGAAGCUUUCUAGGUGACGCCAACAUGCUGCCAGGCUAAGAACCACUGCUUUAGAUUCCGAUGAAUAUAAACUGUAAAGCCAGGGGCCCUCUUGUGUGUUUGUUUUCUGCUCUAUCCCCUGGCAUCUAGCACAGUGCCUGGUACAUGGUAGAAAUUGAAUACAGAUUUAUUACAGGAAAGGAGAGUGUGUGAAACAAGGCAUUUCUAUAAUAGAAACAAAUCUGUAUAUGGUGAGGCCAUGCAGGGAACUCUACUCAACAUCUUGUAAUAACCUAGAAUGGAAAAGACUCUAAAAAAGAAUACAUACAUUUAUAUAUGUAUUUGUAUCACUUUGCUGUAUACCAGAAACUAACACGGCACUGUAAAUCAACUGUAUUUCAAUACAAAUUUAAAAAAAAUUAGGCCACACAGGGCAUGUAUAGAGGGGAGUUACCUCCCAGCCCCCACAAGAACCCUGUGGUCACACACACGUUUGUCCCUUGCUGUCCCAGCACAAGCAAACACGCAGCACCCGCUCAGUCGCUCCCGAGUGUCAAGACAGUUGUGGCUGUCCUCUGGAUCUAGGCUAUUUAGUUGACCCCAAAUCACCCAGGGCUGUGGUCCAGUUGACUUCCUCCGUUCCCUCCAGAAGUGCUGGUGUGACAGCAUGGCUCACAGAGAAGAGGCUUGAACCCUAACACUUUCAGCUGCAUGCAGCCCACUACGGGCUGUUAUCUCUCUCCACCAGCAGCUGAGGAAUAGUCAGGGGUCACUUCCAGCGGUGUUUUCUUCCUUCCUGUUCUUGCUCAGGGUCCGGCAGUAAUGACUUUGGCAGAAGUGUUGGGUCACCUUUUCCCAGAGUCAGGCGACCCUGUCUCCCUGGCUGCUGGCUGAGAGGAGCCUUGAGAAGGGGAGCCAAGGAGGAGCCCUGGGUGUGGACUUGGAGCAUCUGAGUUAGUCUGGCGGAGGAGCAUUUCAUCAGCAUCUCUACAGGCCCAGGGAGUCUGUCAUCUAUUGCCAGGCUUGGGUACCACUGUCUAGAGCUGCAGGAGCCACAUGUUUGAUAGUGGGUAGAACCAGUGUUGGUCUCGGUCCUUCCUCUACUUUAGCAGCGUAGUGUUAACCCACUUCGGACAGCGCAGUGUGCCUGCCUGUGUCAAAUCUUUGAGCUGGGUUGGGAUCUCAUUUUUUAUCUCCCCAUUUCCACCGAGAAAGACGGCAUAGGAAAAAAAAAUCUGGAAAUAAGACAAGCCUUAAUUCAAACCUCGACAGUGCUACUGAUAUCUCUUAAACUCAGUUUUAACAUCUAUAAAAGGCAGAUGAUAUAAUUUACUGGGCAGGUUUAUUGUGAGGCAUAGAUCUUAGGGCUAUUGUGAGAUGGUGUUGUUUGAAUCCUAUGGAAGUAUUAUUUCACCAUUGGGCUCUGAGCUCUUUGAAGGUACAGACAGCAUUUUCUGUUUGUCUUUGUAUCCUUAACCUCUAACACAGUAAAUAGCUGGCACAUACUAGAUGCUUAAGGUAAACUUCUCAGAGCAGUCUGCCCAGAUGCUUCAUCUCAGGAUCCCCUAUAUAUCCCAUUAUACCCUCUUGGUUUCAUUCAUGGCCUCAACUUGCUAUAUUUGCUUGUGUAUCCUCUUUCUCCAAAUUAGACUGUCAUUUCUAUGCUGUCAGGACUUUGUCUUGGUGUUCAAAGUCUAGAACCGUGUCUGGUACACAGUAGGUGCUCAACAUAUGUGUAUCCAGUGGAGAAAGGAAGAAAUGGCAGCUAUUUUACGAGGACUCAUAGUAGCAGUGAUUGCACGAUGAACUGGAAUCAAUCCAAACAGAAAAAUGAAUUGUCUCUGGACAGCUCAGCAGAAGGGGUGAGCACCGCCAGAAGCCCUUGGAGUUUCCUCCUCAGAGAAUUCUGCCUGGGAACCUUUCUUUAGGGCUGGUGAUUUCCUCAGGCCUCCGCCAGGAGGCCCUUCAUGCUGAAGUGAGCAGCGUGAAUGAGGUUUCAGGACCCGGACAAGGGCUGCCUCGGAAGGAGCCUGAACUGGGGCCCUCUGAGGCGUGGGGGAGGGGGCCACACCCUCUCCUGGGCUUGGCACCAGGGGAAGGCUCCAGACGGCGCGGGCUCUGUGCCAGCCUGCUUGGUUCCAGUGGGAAAGCUGACCUUGGCCAGGAAGAACCAGGAAGAGGCACAAAUGACUCAUUGUCCCACAUCCUCCAAGGUGAAAACCCAGCAGUGUGUGUGGCCUCUGGGGCUGGACGCUAUUGCAGCCUUGGCUCCCUCCGCAGCCCAAAUAAAAGCAGUCGGCCAGCAACUCCGGCGCAGCCCAGGAAUACAACGCAUGGAUGUCACCCAUUGUCCCGUUCCACACACUUCCCUGCACUGAAAGUUCCUGAACACCGUGUGUAAGUUCCAGUUCUAAAAGUGGAGCACUAUUUCCUUCUAAAGACUUAAGACAGCCUUCAUUUCCAAUCAAGGGCAUGUGACAUUGUAUGGACUCGUGGAAGAAACGGGAUCUAUUUUCAGGUCACGUGUGAAGAAGGUUGCGGUGGAAUGUGCUUUAUUUUUAUUCACGAGUUUGGGAUCCAAGUCACAUUUGUAAGAUGCGCCACUGCCUUAAGAUUCCCACUAGAGGGCACUCUUGGAAAAUAUUUAUAAGUACAUAUUUUAUUGCUGUCAAGGAAAUGCUGUUUUUUAGAAGAAGGGUGGGGGAGGGAACCCGCCAACCGGUCUGAAUUUCAGGACAAGCCCUUUGCCUUCACUGGGAACUACUCCUGAUUCUUUCAGAAGCGCAGCGAGAGAAGGAAGCUGGAGAGCCCAGGGCAGCUGCUUUCUUGUCCUCUGUCCUUUUAUCCACGUGGAACGCAGCUGGCCCUCCGGCCUGAGCCCAAAUCCCCUCUGCGUCAUGGGGUGGGGGGCGCGCAGCCCCACCUGCCUGGAGAUUCCUCUUGGAAAAGGGCUUAGAGAUGCUGAACUUGGAGGCUUACGGUUUGGUUGGGGGCCUUCCCUUGCAAGCUAGCAGUGGCCGGAAAUCCUCAGAAAAGUGCCAGAAAGGGUCAGAAGGGUGGCUGGGGCGCCAAACAAUUAAAAAUAGGGCUUCCGGGCAGGCAGCCAUGGAGAUCUGGCUCGAUAUGUAAAUAAGUGUAAAUAAGAGCAAGCCUCGGUGCUUGCUGGAAGAGUGCUGUGCACAUUUUGUGCAGCCAGGGUUGCGGGGGGGGGGGGGGGGGGCGGCCCUUAUUCUGCAUACAGCCCAAUUUGUAGAAGAAAAAACUUUUUUUUCUACCACAAAAGAAAAUAGCUCCAUUGAGUUCCAUUGGCGGGGCAAGGGAGGAGAUUAUUCUUAAAGUUAGAUUUUGUAUUCAACGAAUAGAAGAGUGUCAAUGAACAAAUGAGAACUGAUUUUUAGCCACUAACGCCUUGAUUCUGGAGCAUAGCUGAUACCUAGCACUCAACUCUCCCAUCCUUGAACAUAAACUACUUCUAUCCCGGGCUCUGUCCCACUGCUGUGUGUCACCUUUUAAAGUUGACAUUAAUUCACUCAUGUGAGUGACUUCAUUUCAUCCUGGAAUGAGCUCCGUGAGGGGGUGUUACCAUCAUCAUCCCUAUUUCACAGAAGGAAACCAAACUCAGAAAGGGGCAAAGACACACAGCAGUGGGACAGAGCCUGGGACAGAGGCAGUUUACAUUCUUCCGGGAAUCUCUUACUGAGCAUCCGCCAUACACCUGGCCCCCUGCGCUAGGUGUGAUCUGCUGCUGUUUCUUGUGCUUCCUCAGAAAAAAAAAGGAAAAAAAAAAAAAAAAAAAAAAAAAAAAA